rnacentral:tmRNA from 1 species
GGGGGCGACUUGGUUUCGACAUGGCAGGUUCAAGAUGGGGAGCAGGUCGUGGUCUCCUCGCCACGUUAAACAGGGGUACCGUCAAAUUUAAUUGACAAGAACACUUCUGGGCAGCUUGCCCUCGCCGCUUAAUUAAAUCGCGGCCGUCAAAGCGGAGGUUGGCUCCUGGCCCCGUGGCGACGUCACCUACGGGAGAUGCAUCCAGGCACGUGACCGGUAUGGCUUGGAUAAAGAUUGAACCGGCAGGGAACCGCAACGCCAGUCGCUUGGCCGAGCGCGCCCGACAUCUGAAAAGCGACUAAGCCUGUAGCGCCCUGUGGCGAAUCUGGUAUGGACGAGGGUUCAAUUCCCUCCGCCUCCACCA